GAUGAACGCUAGCGGCAGGCUUAAUACAUGCAAGUCGAGGGGCAGCAGCUUUGUAGCAAUACAGGGGCUGGCGACCGGCAAACGGGUGCGGAACACGUACGCAACCUUCCUUUAACUGGAAGAUAGCCCACCGAAAGGUGGAUUAAUACUCCAUAACAUAUUGAAGAGGCAUCUCUUUGAUAUUAAAGCUCCGGCGGUUAAAGAUGGGCGUGCGUCUGAUUAGGUAGUUGGCGGGGUAACGGCCCACCAAGCCUUCGAUCAGUAGCUGAUGUGGGAGCAUGAUCAGCCACACGGGAACUGAGACACGGGCCCGACUCCUACGGGAGGCAGCAGUAAGGAAUAUUGGUCAAUGGACGCAAGUCUGAACCAGCCAUGCCGCGUGGAGGAUGAAGGCCCUCUGGGUUGUAAACUUCUUUUCUUUGGGACGAAACCCCUGUUUCUACGGGGACUGACGGUACCAGAGGAAUAAGCACCGGCUAACUCCGUGCCAGCCGCCGCAGUAACAC
rnacentral:rRNA from 1 species